rnacentral:misc_RNA from 1 species
GCAAACUUGGUCAUUUAGAGGAAGUAAAAGUCGUAACAAGGUCUCCGUUGGUGAACCAGCGGAGGGAUCAUUAUCGAGUUUCGUACUCCAAACCCACUGUGAACUACUCAACUGUUGCUUCCGGCGGACGGCUCCCCUUUUGGGGGGACCAUGCCGCCCCGGCGCUCCGGGGUGUCUGCCGGAAGGUCAUAUCAAACUCUUUUUUAAAAAGAUGCUCUGAGUAUUUAUACAAAUAAAUUAAAACUUUCAACAACGGAUCUCUUGGCUCUGGCAUCGAUGAAGAACGCAGC